rnacentral:rRNA from 1 species
CGGCCACGGCUCAAAUUUGGAAUCCGGUCGCUGCGCGGCCCGAGUUGUAAUUUGCAGAAGGCGCCCCGGGGGCGCGCGCCGGCCCAAGUCCCUUGGAACGGGGCGUCAUGGAGGGUGAGAAUCCCGUACGCGGCCGGGGCAGCGCGUUCCCACGUGGGGUCCUUUCGAC